UUUGGGAAUAUUUUAAUGAAGUUCCUCUACCUGUGGGUAAGACAGGCAUGUAUGCAAAAUGCAAACAGUGCAUUUGGUGAUGGUUGUUACUGUCCUCCUAAUACAGCAUGGCAAAAACAUCCCCCAAAUAUUCAUGAUUAAUCUAGUGAAUUGGAGUUACUUGUGAAUUCAUU